rnacentral:rRNA from 1 species
CUACGGGCGGCUGCAGUGGGGAAUUUUGGACAAUGGGCGAAAGCCUGAUCCAGCCAUUCCGCGUGAGUGAUGAAGGCCUUCGGGUUGUAAAGCUCUUUCGGCCGGGAAGAAAUCGUGCAGGCUAAUAUCCUGCAUGGAUGACGGUACCGGAUCAAGAAGCACCGGCUAACUACGUGCCAGCAGCCGCGGUAAUACGUAGGGUGCGAGCGUUAAUCGGAAUUACUGGGCGUAAAGCGUGCGCAGGCGGAUGUUUAAGCCAGAGGUGAAAUCCCCGGGCUUAACCUGGGAAUGGCAUUUGGAACUGGACAUCUAGAGUGUGUCAGAGGGGGGUGGAAUUCCACGUGUAGCAGUGACAUGCGUAGAGAUGUGGAGGAACACCGAUGGCGAAGGCAGCCCCCUGGGAUAACACUGACGCUCAUGCACGAAAGCGUGGGGAGCAAACAGGAUUAGAUACCCGGGUAGUC